rnacentral:rRNA from 1 species
GAUCAUGGCUCAGGAUGAACGCUGGCUACAGGCUUAACACAUGCAAGUCGAGGGGAAACGGCAUUGAGUGCUUGCACUGAAUGGACGUCGACCGGCGCACGGGUGAGUAACGCGUAUCCAACCUUCCCGUUACUGCGGGAUAACCUGCCGAAAGGCAGACUAAUACCGCAUGUUCUUCGAUGACGGCAUCAGAUUCGAAGCAAAGAUUCUUCGGUAACGGAGGGGG